rnacentral:rRNA from 1 species
CCUACGGGGGGCAGCAGUGGGGGAUAUUGCACAAUGGGGGGAACCCUGAUGCAGCGACGCCGCGUGGGUGAAGGAGCGUUUCGGCGCGUAAAGCCCUAUCAGCAGGGAAGAAGAUGACGGUACCUGACCAAGAAGCCCCGGCUAACUACGUGCCAGCAGCCGCGGGAAUACGUAGGGGGCAAGCGUUAUCCGGAUUUACUGGGUGUAAAGGGGGCGGAGACGGCAAUGCAAGUCAGGAGUGAAAGCCCGGGGCGCAACCCCGGGACUGCUCUUGGAACUGGAUGGCUAGAGUGCAGGAGGGGCAGGCGGAAUUCCUAGUGUAGCGGUGAAAUGCGUAGAUAUUAGGAGGAACACCAGUGGCGAAGGCGGCCUGCUGGACUGUGACUGACGUUGAGGCCCGAAGGCGUGGGGAGCAAACAGGAUUAGAUACCCCAGUAGUC